rnacentral:rRNA from 1 species
GACGAACGCUGGCGGCGUGCUUAACACAUGCAAGUCGAACGAGAGCGUAGAGAAAGCUUGCUUUUUCUACAAUCUAGUGGCAAACGGGUGAGUAACGCGUAAACAACCUGCCCUACAGAUGGGGACAACAGCUGGAAACGGCUGCUAAUACCGAAUACGUUCCGAAAGUCGCAUGACUGUCGGAAGAAAGGAUGGCCUCUAUUUAUAAGCUAUCGCCGGAGGAGGGGUUUGCGUCUGAUUAGCUAGUUGGAGGGGUAACGGCCCACCAAGGCGACGAUCAGUAGCCGGUCUGAGAGGAUGAACGGCCACAUUGGAACUGAGACACGGUCCAGACUCCUACGGGAGGCAGCAGUGGGGAAUCUUCCGCAAUGGGCGAAAGCCUGACGGAGCAACGCCGCGUGAGUGAAGACGGCCUUCGGGUUGUAAAGCUCUGUUAUACGGGACGAAUAAUCUUGUGGUUAAUACCCAUGAGAAGUGACGUACCAA